rnacentral:lncRNA from 1 species
AUGGGCCUCCUGCUCUCGAAGGAGCCGCGCCGCCGCCCGCGCCAGAAGCGGCCCCGCUGCGGCAGCUGGUGGCGCCGCCGCCGCCGGCCUCUCCUCAGGUGGCCCCGCGGGGCCCCGGCCAAGGCGGCGGCGGCGCCCCGGGGCCGGGACUGCCUCUUCCGCGGGCCCUGCAUGCUCUGCCUCGUCGUGCACGGCCCCGGCGCGCCCGCCCCCGCCGGCCCGGAGGAGGAGCCGCCGCUGUCGUCGCCGCGGCCGCUCGGGGCCUACGGCGCGGCCGCCUCCUCACAGCCCCCGGCGCGGCGCCGCGCGGGCCUGGCCGCUGAGGACGCCGCGCGCCGCCUUCUGCUCUCGGCCGCCGCCGCCGUCGCCGCGCCGCCCGCCCCCGGCCGCGGGGAGCUGGGGCCGGCCGCCGCCGCCGCCCGGGAGCGGCCGGCCCGGAGCCUCCUGUGGGCCCGCGCGGGGCCCGUGCGUCCGCCCGCGCCGCCCGCCGCCUCGCGGCUCUUCCGGGCGCCGCCGGCCGAGCCCCCCGCGCCCCCCGAGAUGGUGUGCAAGCGGAAGGGGGCCGGGGUCCCCGCCUGCACCCCCUGUAAGCAGCCCCGCUGCGGCGGGGGCGCCUGCGGCGGAGGCGGCGGCGGCGGCGGGCCUGCGGGCGGCGGCCCCGAGCAGCACCCCCCGCCGCCGCUCCGCGCCCCGCGCUCCCCCGCCGCUCCGGGAGGGGCCCCCGCGGAGGCCGGCGGGGACGCGGUCCGAGCGGGGGGCGCCGCCCCCUCGGUCGCCCGGCAGCAGCAGCACGAGUGCGGCGACGCCGACUGUCCGGAGGGCCCCGAUCCGCCGUGCGACUGCCACAGGGAGCCGCCCCCCGACGCCCCGGACAUCAACCAGCUGCCGCCCUCCAUCCUGCUUAAGAUAUUUUCCAAUUUAUCUCUGGAUGAACGUUGCCUUUCUGCAUCAUUGGUUUGCAAGUACUGGCGUGACCUUUGCUUAGAUUUCCAGUUUUGGAAGCAGCUGGAUCUUAGUAGUCGUCAGCAGGUCACUGAUGAAUUAUUGGAAAAAAUUGCAUCAAGAAGUCAAAAUAUAAUUGAAAUCAACAUUUCUGAUUGUCGCAGUAUGUCUGAUACUGGCGUAUGUGUUCUAGCAUUUAAAUGUCCUGGACUUCUUAGGUAUACAGCUUACAGGUGUAAACAGCUUUCUGACACCUCUAUUAUUGCAGUUGCCUCUCACUGUCCUUUACUUCAGAAAGUUCAUGUAGGCAACCAGGACAAACUGACUGAUGAAGGACUCAAACAGCUGGGGUCGAAAUGCAGAGAACUGAAAGAUAUCCAUUUCGGCCAGUGUUACAAGAUCUCAGAUGAAGGCAUGAUCGUCAUAGCUAAGGGCUGUCUGAAAUUACAGAGAAUAUACAUGCAGGAAAACAAACUAGUGACGGACCAGUCGGUGAAGGCGUUUGCUGAGCACUGUCCUGAGCUGCAGUGCGUGGGCUUCAUGGGUUGUUCGGUUACUUCUAAAGGAGUCAUUCAUCUAACCAAGCUAAGAAACCUUUCCAGCUUGGACCUACGUCAUAUCACUGAACUGGAUAAUGAAACCGUGAUGGAAAUUGUCAAGAGGUGCAAAAAUCUUAGCUCUCUCAAUCUCUGCCUGAACUGGAUUAUAAAUGACAGGUGUGUGGAGGUUAUCGCCAAGGAAGGACAGAACCUGAAAGAGCUGUAUUUGGUGUCCUGUAAAAUCACAGAUUACGGUCAACGAGGUGACGGUGGAGCAGCUGGUCCAGCAGUACCCGCACAUCACCUUCAGCACCGUCCUGCAGGACUGCAAGAGGACGCUGGAGAGGGCCUACCAGCUGGGCUGGACGCCCGGCGUGUCUGCCGCCUCCUCCUAGGGUGCGGAGCUGGGGCGGGUGGCCCCGGCCGAGGCGCGGCUGUGCUGUGUCCCUGCGUGUGCCCCCUGUGUGUGUCCGUGUCUCGUUUGCAUACUGCAUAGCGUCCACGCAGUUGCUAUUUGUUCCCAGGUGAGCUGGUCUUUUUUGUCUUAAAAAUGAAAGAUUUUGACAGGCACAGACCUUUCGUUUUUAAGUUCAAAGGUUUAUUUCUCUAAUUUUUUUUUUUUUUUUACUGUGGAAUCAAAAAAAAAAAAAGGAUCCAUUAUUUUGAGCUUCUAAUUUCUGCCAGUGGAGAUGCCCCCAAAUGAAGGCAAGUGCCUUCUUUUUUGAUGAGAAAGGAUUGUGCAGUUCUGCGGAUG